rnacentral:rRNA from 1 species
CAGCAGCCACGGGAAUACGUAGGGUGCAAGCGUUAAUCGGAAUUACUGGGCGUAAAGCGUGCGCAGGCGGUUUGUUAAGACAGAUGUGAAAUCCCCGGGCUCAACCUGGGAACUGCAUCCAAAACUGGUGAGCUAGAGUACGGUAGAGGGUAGUGGAAUUUCCUGUGUAGCGGUGAAAUGCGUAGAUAUGCGGAGGAACACCGAUGGCGAAGGCAGCCCCCUGGGCCAAUACUGACGCUCAUGCACGAAAGCGUGGGGAGUAAACAGGAUUAGAUACCCGCGUAGUCCCUGUCUCUUAUAA